rnacentral:rRNA from 1 species
AGUGAACGCUGGCGGCAUGCCUUACACAUGCAAGUCGAACGGUAACACAUUUUGAGAUUGCUCCUACUGGUGGCCGGUUGCGUACUGGUUCGGAAUACAUCGGAUUCUACUUUUUCGUGGGGGAUAACGUUUGGUAACUCACGAUACUAUCUCCUACUACCUGCGGGGGAUAUCCGGGGAUCUUCCGACCUUGCCCGCUUGAGUGAGCUGAUGUCGGAUUAGCUAGUUGGCGGGGUAAAGGCCCACCAAGGCGACGAUCCGUAGCUGGUCUGAGAGGAUGAUCAGCCACACUGGAACUGAGACACGGUCCAGACUCCUACGGGAGGCAGCAGUGGGGAAUAUUGGACAAUGGGCGCAAGCCUGAUCCAGCCAUACCGCGUGGGUGAAGAAGGCCUUCGGGUUGUAAAGCCCUUUUGUUGGGAAAGAAAAGCAGCAGGUUAAUAAACAGCUGUUAUGACGGUACCGAAAGAAUAAGCACCGGCUAACUUCGUG